CUAAAUACUACCCAGUGACCGAUAGCGUAUAGUACUGUGAAGGAAAGGUGAAAAGGACCCCGGGAGGGGAGUGAAAUAGAACCUGAAACCUUGUGCCUACAAGCACAUAGAGCACAUCAACGUGUGAUAUGGUACUUUUUGUAGAACGGUCCGGCGAGCGAUUGUAUGUUGCGAGCUUAAGGUCUUAAGGACUGGAGGCGUAGCGAGAGCGAGUCUGAAUAGGGCGUUCAGUAGCAUGCAAUGGGCCCGAAACCGGGUGACCUACCCAUGAUCAGGCUGAAGUGAAAGUAAAAUUUCAUGGAGGGCCGAACCGACCUCCGUUGAAAAGGCGGCGGAUGAAUUGUGGGUAGCGGAGAAAUUCCAAUCGAACUCGGAGAUAGCUGGUUCUCCCCGAAAUAGCUUUAGGGCUAGCCUCAUAUUAGAUACCCGGAGGUAAAGCACUGAAUGGCCUAGCGCCCGAGAGGGUAGCGAAGCCUAUCAAACUAAGAAUGCCGGAGUAUUGAUGUAUGGGAGUCAGACAGUGUGAGAUAAAUCUCAUUGUCAAAAGGGAAACAGCCCAGAUCUACAGCUAAGGUCCCAAAUUGUAUCUAAGUGGAAAACGAUGUGGAAAUACGCAGACAACCAGGAUGUUGGCUCAGAAGCAGCCACUCAUUUAAAGAGUGCGUAAUAGCUCACUGGUCGAGCGUCUCUGCGCGGAAAAUUUAACGGGGCUAAGAUACAAACCGAAGCUUAGGCUGCAUCGUAAGAUGCGGGGUAGGGGAGCGUUGUGUAAGCGGAGAAACAGUAGCGUAAGCGGCUGUGGAGUUUACAGAAGUGAGAAUGCCGGAAUGAGUAGCGCGAAUGUGGUGAGAAUCCACAUGGCCGGAAACCUCAGGUUUUUGGAGGAAGGUUCGUCCGCUCCAAGUUAGGCGGGAGCUAAGGUCAGGCCGCAAGGCGUAGCCGAUGCACAGACGGUAGAGAUUCCGUCCCCACCGAAAGAUUUAAGCACAGGGACACUUUUAGAAGGUCAGAGCCGGGUGUUGGUUCCGGUAGAGAUCGAGGGAAAUAUAGUACCGAAGUCCGGCUGGAUGAGAGGCGAGAAAAGCUGUGUGUAUAUCUAAGGUGCCCGUACCGCAAACCGACACAGGUAGGUAGGAAGAAGAUUCUAAGGCCAACGGGAGAAGGGUUGUUAAGGAACUCGGCAAAUUGACCCCGUAACUUCGGGAGAAGGGGUGCUGCAGCAAUGCAGCCGCAGAGAAUCGGCCCAAGCAACUGUUUACCAAAAACACAGGUUUGUGCUAAAUCGAAAGAUGACGUAUACGAGCUGACGCCUGCCCGGUGCUGGAAGGUUAAAAGGAGAUGUGCAAGCAUUGAAUUGAAGCCCCAGUGAACGGCGGCCGUAACUAUAACGGUCCUAAGGUAGCGAAAUUCCUUGUCAGGUAAGUUCUGACCCGCACGAAAGGCGUAAUGAUUUGGGCACUGUCUCAACAGCCCGCCCGGCGAAAUUGUAGUACCGGUGAAGAUGCCGGUUACCCGCGACAAGACGGAAAGACCCCAUGGAGCUUUACUGUAGCCUGAUAUUGGGUUUCGGUGUUGCAUGCACAGGAUAGAUGGGACGCUAGGAAAGAAGCGCUUUGGCGUUUCUGGAGCGGACGUUGGGAUACCAUCCUUGCGACAUUGGAAUUCUAACCUGCGCCUCUGAAUCGAGGCGGGGGACAUUGUCAGGUGGGCAGUUUGACUGGGGCGGUCGCCUCCUAAAAAGUAGCGGAGGCGUUCAAAGGUUCGUUCGAUCUGGACGGAAACCAGAUGAAUGAGUGCAAACGCAUAAACGAGCCUGACUGCGAGACUGACGGGUCGAGCAGAGACGAAAGUCGGAGUUAGUGAUCCGGUGGUAUGUGAGUGGAAAUGCCAUCGCUCAACGGAUAAA
rnacentral:rRNA from 1 species